rnacentral:rRNA from 1 species
GACGAACGCUGGCGGCGUGCUUAACACAUGCAAGUCGAACGGAAAGGCCCUGCUUUUGUGGGGUGCUCGAGUGGCGAACGGGUGAGUAACACGUGAGUAACCUGCCCUUGACUUUGGGAUAACUUCAGGAAACUGGGGCUAAUAUCGGAUAGGAGCUCCUGCUGCAUGGUGGGGGUUGGAAAGUUUCGGCGGUUGGGGAUGGACUCGCGGCUUAUCAGCUUGCUGGUGGGGUAGUGGCUUACCAAGGCUUUGACGGGUAGCCGGCCUGAGAGGGUGACCGGCCACAUUGGGACUGAGAUACGGCCCAGACUCCUACGGGAGGCAGCAGGGGGGAAUAUUGCACAAUGGGCGGAAGCCUGAUGCAGCAACGCCGCGUGCGGGAUGACGGCCUUCGGGUUGUAAACCGCUUUCGCCUGUGACGAAGCGGGAGUGACGGUAAUGGGUAAAGAAGCACCGGCUAACUACGUG